rnacentral:rRNA from 1 species
AAUAGAUACCCGGGUAGUCCACGCCGUAAACGAUGAAUGCUAGCCGUCGGUGAGCAUGCUCUUCGGUGGCGCAGCCAACGCAAUAAGCAUUCCGCCUGGGGAGUACGAUCGCAAGAUUAAAACUCAGAGGAAUUGACGGGGGCCCGCACAAGCGGUGGAGCAUGUGGUUCAAUUCGAAGCAACGCGCAGAACCUUACCAGGCCUUGACAUCCCGGUCGCGGCCCCUUGAAAGAGGGGCUUUCAGUUCGGCUGGACCGGUGACAGGUGCUGCAUGGCUGUCGUCAGCUCGUGUCGUGAGAUGUUGGGUUAAGUCCCGCAACGAGCGCAACCCUCGCCCUUAGUUGCCAUCAUUUAGUUGGGCACUCUAAGGGGACUGCCGGUGAUAAGCCGCGAGGAAGGUGGGGAUGACGUCAAGUCCUCAUGGCCCUUACGGCCUGGGCUACACACGUGCUACGAUGGCGGUGACAAUGGGCAGCAAUGGCGCGAGCCGGAGCUAAUCUCAAAAAGCCGUCUCAGUUC